CCACCGGCGCUGCCGCCACAACCACCCGCUCUUGUGGCAGGGGCCGGCAGGGACGCGCUGGGACGCAUCCUCUUCACCGACCCACACAAAUACAAGGACGCCAUAUACAAGAGGUGGACACAGCGGGAAAAGAAGAAAAAAGAACUUCAACAUUAGCGGAACAAAGAACGAGAAGAAGUAAGGAGCUUCCGUUGCAACAUCUACAUCUACAUCUACCACUAAUGGCCACCGGGAUACGUGUCUUAUUUAAUGAUUUCCGAGGCCCCUGGCGGUCAUGGAGGGCGGUGAGCAGUGCCUGGGGUCAUGUUGCUUGUGUGGCCGGUGUGAAUGUGACCGGGGGCUUGGCAGGGGUGAUGGGAGGCUUGGCAAGGGUGGCAGGGGGGCGAGGUACAGAAAAUACCCCCCGGCGUACAUGCCCUCAAAACUGCAGGAGAUGGAGGACAGCGGGGAGAUGAAGGAAUUUGAGUAGCGGGCGGUCCGAGCGGCCCACAGCACCCACACCACCUCUGUACUCCACCACCCGCUUGUCAGGAAAUUCACCAACCACAUCAUGAAAACAGGAAACAAACCUCUGGCCAGGGAACUUGUCGAGAAGGUCAAAGGUCACAACUAGCCAGCCGGGAGUGGGUCAGGAUGGCACGGCUGGCUGUGGUGGUGGUGGUGGUGGGUGUUGGCAGCAGCAG